GCGAGAGUAGCUCAAUUGGUAGAGCGUCACCCUUCCAAGGUGAAUGUUGCCGGUUCGAUUCCGGUCGCUCGCUCAA
rnacentral:tRNA from 1 species